UACGUAGGGUGCGAGCGUUAAUCGGAAUUACUGGGCGUAAAGUGUGCGCAGGCGGCCAUGCAAGUCGAGUGUGAAAGCCCCGGGCUUAACUUGGGAAUUGCGCUCGAAACUACGUGGCUGGAGUGUGGCAGAGGAAGGUGGAAUUCCACGUGUAGCAGUGAAAUGCGUAGAGAUGUGGAGGAACACCAAUGGCGAAGGCAGCCUUCUGGGCCAACACUGACGCUCAUGCACGAAAGCGUGGGGAGCAAACAGG
rnacentral:rRNA from 1 species